rnacentral:lncRNA from 1 species
ACUGAUUUGAGUUUCACUUCCUCUGGAGGAGAUGUGAAUAAACAGAAAAAUAGCCCAAACUUGGGCAGCAGCUGGGGGAAGAGGAAGGGAGGUAACCAGUAUUCAUGAAGCCUCUGAUAGGUGCCAAUUGCUUUACCCACAGGACACAGUGACCCCACAACACCCCUGGGCAAACAGGCAGGGAGAAGUGAAGCUACUUGCCCAAGAUCACCCAGCUCAAAAGGGCCAGAGGACGGAGAAGCUGAGAGGAAACCCCGGUGAAGAAGAGGCAGUUGUGUGGGAGAAGCCUUUGCCGUCUCUGGAGGGCCUUACAGCCCAAGGGAGGGGCUCUCCGCAGCUCGGAGCCCAGGCCUAGCUGAGGAGGGGGCCAGAAGAUACUCACAAGCACACCC